rnacentral:tRNA from 1 species
GGGCGUGUAGUUUAGUGGUAUAACAUCCGCUUUGCAUUGUAUCUCUAUGCAAAUGCUGCGGAAGGUCCCGGUUUCGAUCACCGGCGUGUCCA